rnacentral:tRNA from 1 species
UGCCCGAGUGGUUAAAGGGAGCAGACUGUAAAUCUGCCGGCGAUGCCUACAAAGGUUCAAAUCCUUUCCCCUCCACCA